CCUACGGGGCGCAGCAGUGAGGAAUAUUGGUCAAUGGGCGGAAGCCUGAACCAGCCAAGUCGCGUGAGGGACUAAGGCCCUGCGGGUCGUAAACCUCUUUUGCCGGGGAGCAGUGGUCCGGACGCGUCCGGACCGGGAGAGUACCCGGAGAAAAAGCAUCGGCUAACUCCGUGCCAGCAGCCGCGGUAAUACGGAGGAUGCGAGCGUUAUCCGGAUUUAUUGGGUUUAAAGGGUGCGUAGGCGGACGCUUAAGUCAGCGGUAAAAUUGCGGGGCUCAACCUCGUCGAGCCGUUGAAACUGGGUGC
rnacentral:rRNA from 1 species